CAGCGCCGCUCCGCAGGGCCCCGCGGGAGUUCAGCGGUGGCGGCCGGGGAAGGAGGAGGAAGUGGAAGCGGAGGAGGAGGAGGAUUAGCGGGGCUGGCGGAGAUGAACAUCGAAUGAGCACAUGGAGUUCCAGACGCUGAUCCUCGGAGAGUCCACGUGUGGCAGAAAGGAUGGAUAAUCUUUUGGCUCGGCUCCAGCCCGGUGGAGGCUGCGUCUGGUUGUUCCAGGCUGAUGUACAAAAAGGGCACAGCAUUUAUUCUGCCAGGGCGUUACAUGCAACAUUUGAUUUCAUUUAUAUAUCUGUGGGCAACCAUCCUGCUUCUUUCUUUAGAAUACACAUGACUGCACAUAGCAGAUCAUGCCUAGAAAAUACUGUGGUUCUGAAGUCAGAAAUUAACCUAUUCGUGCUGGGUUUUGUUAAGCAAGUUAGGCUCUGAUCACAAAAAUACACAGGCUCAUACCACCUUGAGCUCAAUUAUUUAAGCAAGUGUUCAGCAUGGUAGGUCUAGGCCCAGCUGGUUAGGAUUCUGAAAAACUGCUGACUAAUAAUAAAACAGGACUCCCGUGACUGCACCCCACCAAGUUAAAAAAAAAAUAAUUUAAGACCAAGGUAAAACGAUGGGUUUUCUUGAUUAAAGGCAAGCUAGAGCUUUAAGAUAGGCAUUGAACUUAAGUAAGGUGUAUGUGGCCUUAUCGUAUUCUUACAUAUUUUACAUGAAUCAGAAAUACAGAUGUUGCGGGCAUGUGAUGGCCCAGCAGAGGAUGAAACACUGAUACUGUAAACAAAGAUUGCUGACUUGAGUCUCUCUUCCCAAACCUAUUUCCAUCCAUCUAUAAAUAAGUUUGGUGCACAGAGUGCAAAUUUAGGUCACGGCAUUAUUGCUUCCUCUUCAUGGAGGAUGAUGUUCGUUUGAGUUGCUGCUUUCGAGUUCCAUCUGAAGCUACAAAGCAUUGCAAUCUUCAGCUGUUUCGUGUUCACACCGAUGUUUAAAGUCCUUUCUUUCUCCAGUGCCAGCAGGGGAUGGAGGUCAGGUGAGCAUUUCUGUACCUGGCAGGAACAGGUAUGCCUGGCAAGAUGCUUAGGAUGAAGGUGCAGAUGGCCUGUGAGCCUUUCUGUAUUGGAAUGAAUGGCUGAGGGCACUGACAGUCUCGCCCCUGUCUGUUGACUGGCAACUGGCAUUUUUUUAAGAGGCCAAGGGAUUUAAAGGGCUCCAUGUUCAGUGUAGUCUUCUAUUCAGUCCCCUUCUGCAGGGGCAGGUAGUUUAAUUGUGGAGGUAUGGACUGGACUUUUUGGCAAUUAUCGUUAUCAGUGAUAACGGUAAAUUACCUUUCUGUUGGCUUAAGCUAUCCAUUUGUGUCCUGCCUUAGCAACUACAUUUUAUGCUUGCAAGGGAUUGCUAGAAUGUUUGCUUUUGAACACACUGGUUCUUUUUCUGAGCAGCACAAAAGUAGGCCGUUUUGUAGAAAUGCUUGGUAAUGGUAGGACAUUGUGCAGUUGGAGUAACGCGCAGUUGUAGGAGAGAUCAGCACGGGGAACUAGGAUCCCGAGUUCUUGAUCUCAGCCUGGUCAUGACUUGCUGGGUGAUAUUAGGUGAGUUACUUGACCCUUUAGUGCUUAUCACUCUGUAAGCCAUGAAUCACACGUCCUGUGUAGAAGGAUGUUUAUUAAGAUUUUAAGAACGUCUUUAUGUGAACAUUCCUGGUGCCAUGUUACUUUGGUGACUGCAUAAUUGACGACCACGUGAUCCUCCAUGUUUUUAACUACUGUAUUGAUUCCCAUUUCUGACAGAUACAGUCAAAAAUAUGUCCUUGGCACUUAGCGUUCCAGUUAAAUGCUGUAUCACACCCACAUUUCUCAGUGCAGUAAUAUUAAAAAAAACCCCAACAAACAACCUCAAAAGCAAAGCAAGCUGUCCAGCCAACUGACAUUAAAUUGACAUGUUUUUUCUUCUGAAAGGCCAUAUUCUUAGCUGGCCUCUACCAUCGCGACUGCAUGUGAAGGAAAAAAAAAAAAUAAUCAUGGUGUAGUUGUGUAGUUGCUUGGCUGGGCUUUGAGAUUGCUUUGUGUUGGUGAUGCAAUGACCAAAGUUCAGCCCAGUGGUUUUAUGAUACAACCAGUGUGAGUGAGGUCAGGUUCAGGUUAUGGUUUUGGUCUCCUGCUGUGUUUGUUUUUUUCCCCACACGCAGAAAGAGAAUGUGUUGAGAAGUGUUACAGCUAUUUUCUCCUGCCCAGUGCCCCUAUUUCUAGGUUCCUCUUCUUUCUAGCUGAACUCUCCUGUAGGAUUGACAGUUCUUCAGCUUCUUGGUUUUUUUGUUGCUGUUACGUAUUACAAUUCCCCCCAAGGUUGUGAAACAUCCCUUGUUUAUUUUCACUUUCUUUUAGGGGUUGCUUCCCAGAUCUUCUUAAUUUGGUUUAAGAAGUUAGAAUUACCUGUAGCCACCAGGUAAAAUGACAGUCUUGAAUGGAUGAAAGUGACAGCUGCCUCCUUAGAAGGUCAGUUGUUAGCUGUAGUUAAAUGUUAUAUCACAAUAUUGGAAUAUUUUACAAGGUACAGAACUUGGACAGCAGUACAGAAACCAUAUUCUGUUAUAAUAUUCCCAACGGCUGCAGAUGUGUGCUUACACAGGACAAAAAAUAAGAAUCUGUGUCAGACAACAUCAUUUUUGCAGUGUUCCUGCCACUGGUUCUGCAAGGGUAUAUAUUAAUUUUUAUUUUAUAGCUACCACCAAUUAAGGAGAUGGAUAUGAACACUAGCCAAACACGAUUCAGAUGAGAACAAGACUAAAAACAGAGUAGACAAACAACAUGGCUGUAAUAUUUGCUGGCUCUCCAGUAAUGGCUUACGUAAAAGAAAGUUGGCUAUCAAUUAUUCAUCAGAGAAUUUAUAUAUCAGUAGAAACACAGAGGAGUGCUAGCUAUAACUGUACUGAAAUUAAAAGGGGAAUUAGGUUCAUAUAGAUACCAAACUUCAAGCAGAUCUAUGUAACAUUAAGACUCCCACCCACCUUUACCACUUCUUUACUGACACACAUCCUGUAUUCCAUUAACCACGUAAUUCACCCCUCGCUGCACUCUUCAUUUGUUGUAGCCUCUCAGUUAAAUGCACUAUUUCUAUAUAAAGCCCAUCAUUAGUGAGUUUUAUUGACAGUUUGCUACCGAACAGCCUAGAGCGGGAGUUGGAGUGACUCAGAGCAGGGAAGGCUGUGCAGCAUGCAACUCCCCGUGCAUGAAUCUGCAGAGAUAACGAGCCUCAUUCUCAUCGUCUGAGUUCAGCUCCGCUGAUUUCAUGCUUUCCACUGGUGCAAAUCAGAUCCGUACCGAUGUCUCUGGCGCCGCCCAGGUUAGACUCUGGUGGUGGGAGCUGUGGGUUAGUCAUGGCCUCGUUCCUUCUGAACUCUCUGACUGUCUAGGGCUGAUCCUGGGUGUGAGGAAGAAGACAUUUACCAGCACGGUUAGAAACCUCCCUUCCUGCUCUCCCUUCUUGGCGUGGAGGUUGCAGGAAGGCAUCUCUGGCCGGAGCCGCUUGCGUGGUGUCGCUCUGAGCCACUGCAGCUGUGCAAUACUUUCCCCAGCUGCGUGCAGCAGUGACGAAAGAGGAGAGAGAAAUCCCCUAGUGGUUGUGGAAAGAGUUACUGCUUGACUUCUCUAAGGUUUUCACGUAUCUUUAAUGUUUUCUAAAGAUAAUCUGAUUAUAUAAUCUGGGACAAAUACCACCGUUAUGUCUAAAACUUAAAAAUAGAUUCAAGAGUAUUGUUCAAGUGUCCAGAAUCCUGAGUGUUCGGGUACAGGCAGGAAAGUAAAAAAAGAUUUUUUUGAUAAUUACUGAGAUGAAAGAAUCCCACAGCUCAAUUUGCAAGUGUAAUUCUGAGUCCACAAAAAGAUGUAUUACCACUCUUUCUUAUUACUGGCAUAACUUUCAAAAUAAAAUACCAACAUGAAGGCGUAUGGAUAUUAUGUUAUGAAGAAUGUAAUUAGAAAUAAAUGGGAAUCGUUGAUUAAACUGGUUAUUCUUACAAUGUAUUGAACACUGUCGUUUGGUCCAUCACAUUUAGUCUUUUAACUGACAGCAGAAAAGGCACAGUUAAAGAUGUGGUAUGUUUACUUGUGAUUUCUUCCCUGCGUGUCUUUAUCUCUGGUUGUAUUAAAAUAAUUUGAUAUUUUACAUAAGUGCAUUCAGAAGCAGCAAAAUGCGUAGAAGUCAUUUAUCAUUUUGUUGAUGGAAAUUACUGUUAACUUAAAAGCUGAUGCUACCUGUUGGGAAAGUUGAAAUCUGUUUCCUGGGACAGUUAGUACAGAAUGAAGAAAUACUUGGCUGUUGUCCUGGUGCAUGCGGGGUUUGUCUCCUCCCUGGAAGGUCCUGCCUGGCCAUGAAGUGGAGCACCUGGAGUCCAUCCUGUGGUUGUAAUUUCAUGGGCUUUGAGCGUGGCCCUCUCCACUAUUUUUGAAACCACUUCCCUGUAGAUCCUUUGAAUUCUGUCGCUGUCUGCUAGACCCAUGAGGCCCCUCCAGUCUCUCUUACAGCAGUGCCGAACUCCACUUGGUUUUUUUUCCCCUCUUUCUGUUACUUUUUCAGAGAAUCCCGAGGGUCCUGUUUGGUCGCUCAGUGGGAAAGCGGAGGGUGGGAGAAAGCUUGCAAGGUCACCUCUGUUUGGAAGCAGCUCCGAGGACCUUCAGCCCUCCCCUCAGCAGCUGGCUUUUAAAUGACAAGAGAAGGUUGUGCUGAUACGGCCCAGGGGAAGGGCCCGCUUAGCGGACGAAGGCCCUGCAGAGUCCUCGUUGUCGGGCAGUGAUGAGAAAAGCUGCUCCCUUGCAGGGAAAGGCUUACGUUUCUCUCAGCACACUGUCACUGACUGCAGUGCCAUGUUUCCCUUUGCCUGCUCUGAGGUAAAGGAUCUGAAUUAAACUCGAGGCCUCCAGGAAGAGGAAGUGUUUGAACAAGGCAGGUGGACUGAGGGAAGCAGAAGGCGGUGGCCAGGACCCAUGGGACAGUGACAGCCACCCAAGCAGGCAGUAUUGAUCUCCCUUUGAGGAUCUGACUACCUCCAAGACACAAGUAUUAAAAUAGAAGAACACCAAUUAGAAAAUAUUGCUAAUUACUUAGUAGAGGGAAAUGUCGAGGGAGAAAGAGAAGAAAGGAAAAGAGGCCAGUGUGGAUGGAAUGUCAGUGAAAGAGGUCAGGAGGACGUUCUAGAGAAGCAGCACACAGCAGAGGUGGGUUGGUAUUUGAACGUCCAGGGAAUGAGGCAAGGAGGGAACAGAGCAGUUUGGUUGCAUGAUGUACAGUUACGGGAUGAACAGCUCAGUGCUGUGUGUAGGCUAGGUUUUGAAGUGUGGAUUGAAAUGGUACAAAAAGUUUUUGUUUCUUUAAAAAUGAAGAAAGUGGUUUUAAUGGUGUGUUGGAGGACAAAGUGAAAAGUUGCAAGUCUGAAAAUGAGAAGUGCUUGCCAGAGCUAUAAACAUGACCCUCCCUGGUUGUGCUCUAGUACUCAGAGUAUUUACAUGACCACAUGCUCUUUUUCAGUCAGAAUAAUAUAUUUGUCAGUAACAUAUCACUGCUGCACCAUGCUACAGUGUGCAUAGGUGUAUCUUCAGAUGAUUGAGGAAAAACCCUAAAUGUUACUGAGGUAUAAAGGGAAAUUAAUUCAGAUAUUUAGUAUCUAGAUUUUAUUUUACUUUUGCAUUUCACAGCAUGGUAGCAAAAACGUGGCAGAUUUUUCUUGGAAAAUUAGGAUGCAUUCCAGCAGAAAUUGAUGCAGAGACUCAGCUUUUUCCUAAAAAAUAGCUUCCACUAUUCCCCAUAGCUCAGUAUUUAGAGCUUGCAGGAUCAGAACCUAACAAGACAUACAUCCUUCUUACUGUUUGGUUUUUUUUUUCUUUCAGGAGAACAAAAAUCUCCAUGUCUCCAUGUUAAAAUGAUUGGAAAUUGAACUUGUGGGGGAUCUAGCAUGUGAUUACUUUUUUUAGACAGGAUUUUCUUCGUAGCUGAAUUGGACUGAGUCUUUUUUUUCUCCCAAACCAGAUGGUAAGUGAUUCAGUACUUUUAGCAGUAGAAAAAUGAUUUGUUUUCUUUCCUCAGUAGUUGGUGUGAAUGUACUUUUCUUUAUCUAUUUACAUAUUAUGUAAACACACUUUACCAGCGUUUAUGUACAUAGUUUGCAGUCCUAAUCCUGCAGAGAGCCCUGUAUAGGCAAGGCCUUGCACAUAGGAGAAGUUGACAUUGCUUACAGAAAGCUGUUUGCAUGGAACUCAUGGCAGGGUUGUAACUCUAUUUGUAUUUUUAUCUGUAUACUUACAUUAAUGACAUUGUACGAGGAUGCCAACAGAACCGUGAGUCCACAAUACAGCUGGGUAACUUUGCUCACUUUACUUUUUUUCACCUAACAAAGUCUCUGGGUGUGUCAGUGAUCUCUGCUGCUAUCUCCCUGUGGUAGGCUGUAGUCCGUGUGACACUUGAGUUAAAGUUAAAAGCUUUAUCCUUAUAAUAGGGUGUUGGGGCAAAAUCCUCUUGGUGUGCAGGGGGAGCGAGGGCCUCAUUCGUGUGACUUUUUGGACUUGUACUGAUGCUACUAGGGGGACUUCAUAAGGGAUUCCAGUAAUGGUGAGGAAUAUUUGGGAGAGUAUUAAAAAAAAAUUUCACAUACG